AAGGCUUGGUCCUGACUUUAUUAUCAACUUUAGCCAAACUUACACAUGCGAGUAUCCGCACCCCUGUGAGAAUGCCCUAAUAGUUCCCCGCCCGGGAACAAGGAGCUGGUAUCAGGCACAACCCUAUUGAGCCCACGACACCUUGCUUAGCCACACCCUCAAGGGAGCUCAGCAGUGAUAAACAUUAAGCCAUAAGUGAAAACUUGACUUAGUUAAAGCUAAGAGGGCCGGUAAAACUCGUGCCAGCCACCGCGGUUAUACGAGAGGCCCAAGUUGACAAACACCGGCGUAAAGCGUGGUUAAGUUAAAAAUCCUACUAAAGCCAAACAUCUUCAAGACUGUUAUACGUAACCGAAGACAGGAAGUUCAACCACGAAAGUCGCUUUAUCUGAUCUGAAUCCACGAAAGCUAAGGAACAAACUGGGAUUAGAUACCCCACUAUGCCUAGCCCUAAACAUUGAUAGUACAAUACACCCACUAUCCGCCCGGGUACUACGAGCAAUAGCUUAAAACCCAAAGGACUUGGCGGUGCUUUAGAUCCACCUAGAGGAGCCUGUUCUAGAACCGAUAACCCCCGUUCAACCUCACCCUUCCUUGUUUUACCCGCCUAUAUACCGCCGUCGUCAGCUUACCCUGUGAGGGACUAAUAGUAAGCAGAACUGGUACAACCUAAAACGUCAGGUCGAGGUGUAGCGUAUGGAGGGGGAAGAAAUGGGCUACAUUCGCUACCACAGCGAACACGAAUGAUGCACUGAAAUACACAUCUGAAGGAGGAUUUAGCAGUAAGCUGGAAAUAGAGCGUCCCGCUGAAACUGGCCCUGAAGCGCGCACACACCGCCCGUCACUCUCCCCAAAAGCCCCAAUCAGUUAACUAAAACCUAAUAAUCAAAAAGGGGAGGCAAGUCGUAACAUGGUAAGUGUACCGGAAGGUGCACUUGGUAAAAUCAGAGCGUGGCUAAGAUAGAAAAGCAUCUCCCUUACACUGAGAAGUCACCCGUGCAAGCCGGGUCGCCCUGAUGCCCAACAGCUAGCCCACCUAAACAAACACAACAAACCCCUGUUAAUAACCCCUAAAUACCCUAGUAUUUAAAUUAAACAAACCAUUUUUCCCCCUUAGUAUAGGCGAUAGAAAAGGACAAACGGCGCAAUAGAGAGAGUACCGCAAGGGAACGCUGAAAGAGAAAUGAAACAACCCAGUGAAGCCUAAA
rnacentral:ncRNA from 1 species